UAGAGUUUGAUCAUGGCUCAGAUUGAACGCUGGCGGCAGGCUUAACACAUGCAAGUCGAGCGGUAACAGGAAUAGCUUGCUAUUUGCUGACGAGCGGCGGACGGGUGAGUAAUGCUUGGGAAUAUGCCUUAUGGUGGGGGACAACAGUUGGAAACGACUGCUAAUACCGCAUAAUGUCUACGGACCAAAGGGGGGGAUCUUCGGACCUCUCGCCAUUUGAUUAGCCCAAGUGAGAUUAGCUAGUUGGUAAGGUAAUGGCUUACCAAGGCGACGAUCUCUAGCUGGUUUGAGAGGAUGAUCAGCCACACUGGGACUGAGACACGGCCCAGACUCCUACGGGAGGCAGCAGUGGGGAAUACUGCACAAUGGGGGGAACCCUGAUGCAGCCAUGCCGCGUGUGUGAAGAAGGCCUUCGGGUUGUAAAGCACUUUCAGUUGUGAGGAAAGGUGUGUAGUUAAUAGCUGCAUACUGUGACGUUAACAACAGAAGAAGCACCGGCUAACUUCGUGCCAGCAGCCGCGGUAAUACGAGGGGUGCAAGCGUUAAUCGGAAUUACUGGGCGUAAAGCGUUCGUAGGCGGUUGAAUAAGCAAGAUGUGAAAGCCCAGGGCUCAACCUUGGAACUGCAUUUUGAACUGUUCGACUAGAGUACUGUAGAGGGGGGUAGAAUUUCA
rnacentral:rRNA from 1 species